rnacentral:rRNA from 1 species
GAUGAACGCUAGCGGGAGGCUUAACACAUGCAAGUCGAGGGGCAGCAUAGGGUAGCAAUACUCUGAUGGCGACCGGCAAACGGGUGAGUAACGCGUAUGCAACCUACCCUGUACAGGGGGAUAACCCGGAGAAAUUCGGACUAAUAUCCCGUAAUAAUAUCCGGAGGCAUCUUUGGAUAUUUAAAGUUUCGACGGUACGGGAUGGGCAUGCGUAACAUUAGCUGGUUGGUAAGGUAACGGCUUACCAAGGCUAUGAUGUUUAGGGGUCCUGAGAGGGUGGUCCCCCACACUGGUACUGAGACACGGACCAGACUCCUACGGGAGGCAGCAGUGAGGAAUAUUGGUCAAUGGGCGCAAGCCUGAACCAGCCAUCCCGCGUGCAGGAAGACGGCCCUAUGGGUUGUAAACUGCUUUUCCAGGGAGAGAAACUUACGCACGUGUUGCGUGACUGACGGUACCCUGGGAAUAAGCAUCGGCUAACUACGUGCCAGCAGCCGCGGUAAGCACGAGAGUA